rnacentral:misc_RNA from 1 species
CAUUACUUCCUCUUCUUCCUCCAUCAAUUGUAAUCUAAAAAGGUUGUUUUUAGUAAUAUUAACCAAUAUUUGCUGUCAACCAAAGAAAAAAAUCAAGCAAGUUCCCCAAAAGGAAAACAAUCCUGAUUAAUCAUCAAAGAAUUACCCUUAUGCCACAGUUCUUGAUUAUGCUCCCAAUACCCAGAAAACAAAUUCCGAUCUUUGAAGACAAUCACUCUCCAUCUGUUUAUCCUUUCCAUCAGUUCAACAAAUCAAUACUGUAUACCUUCAUUUCACACUUCGUACCCAAUUCCUGAGCCAAAUUAUAUAAAACAAGCCCACUUUUUUCUAUCUAAUCUCUAAAAAAAAAACCAGAAAGUCGAAAUUUGAGCAAUUACAUCUAAAGUAUAGAGAAAACAAUCACCAACGACGACAAAAAAAGAAAAGAAUCCCAACGAUGUGACCGAAUUACCGAGAUUUGCCGGGAAAAUUUUCCAAUUGGUUUCCAGCAAUCCAAACAGGCAUA